rnacentral:rRNA from 1 species
GGCUGCUCCUAGUACGAGAGGACCGGAGUGGACGAACCUCUGGUGUACCGGUUGUGACGCCAGUCGCAUCGCCGGGUAGCUAUGUUCGGAAGAGAUAACCGCUGAAAGCAUCUAAGCGGGAAACUCGCCUUAAGAUGAGAUAUCCCUGGAGGCUUGACCUCCUUGAAGGGUCGUUCGAGACCAGGACGUUGAUAGGUCGGGUGUGUAAGCGCAGUAAUGCGUUCAGCUAACCGAUACUAAUUGCCCGUAAGGCUUGAUCCUAUAACA